rnacentral:rRNA from 1 species
UACGUAGGGUGCGAGCGUUGCCCGGAUUUAUUGGGCGUAAAGGGCGCGUAGGCGGUCACGCACGUCCGUUGUGAAAUCGCUCGGCUCAACUGGGCGGGGUCAGCGGAUACGGUGUGACUGGAGCAAGCUAGGGGGCAAUGGAAUUCCUGGUGUAGCAGUGAAAUGCGUAGAUAUCAGGAGGAACACCGAUGGCGAAGGCAGGUCUCUGGGCUGACACUGACGCUCAUGCACGAAAGCGUGGGGAGCAAACAGG